rnacentral:piRNA from 1 species
CCCUUCUGCAUGAAGAUGUAGAGGU